rnacentral:lncRNA from 1 species
AUGGUCUGGUCUUGGUCUCUAUCUGUGAAUUGCUUCAAUAUGGUCUGGUUUUGGUCCCGACCCAUUUGCAUUAUUUCUUGUGGUUUACAAGAGGGCGCAGCUUGGAGCAGAAAAAGCUCUUCCUCGGCAUAUGCAUUACUGCAGUGUGUUCCUGAGCUGCCUCUCUCUCUCUCUCUCUCUCUCUCUCUCUCUCUCUCUCUCUCUCUCUCUCCCUCUCUCUCUCUCUCUCUCUGUCUCUCUCUCUCUCUCACUCUCUCUCUCUCUCUCUCUCUCUCUGUCUCUCUCUCUCUCUCUCUCUGUCUCUCUCUCUCUCACUCUCUCUCUCUCUCUCUCUCUCUCUCUCUCUCUCUCUCUCUCUCUCUCUCUCUCUCUCUCUCUGUCUCUCUCUCUCUCUCUCUCUCUCUCUCUCUCUCUCUCUCUCUCUCUCUCUCUCUCUCUCUCUCUCUCUCUCUCUCUCUCUCUCUCUCUCUCUCUCUCUGUCUCUCUCUCUCUCUCUCUCUCUCUCUCUCUCUCUCUCACUCUCUCUCUCUCUCUCUCUCUCUCUGUCUCUCUCUCUCUCUCUCUGUCUCUCUCUCUCACUCUCUCUCUCUCUCUCUCUCUCUCUCUCUCUCUCUCUCUCUCUCUCUCUCUCUCUCUCUCUCUCUCUGUCUCUCUCUCUCUCUCUCUCUCUCUCUCUCUCUCUCUCUCUCUCCCUCUCUCUCUCUCUCUCUCUGUCUCUCUCUCUCUCUCUCUCUCUCUCUCUCUCUCUCUCUCUCUCUCUCUCUCUCUCUGUCUCUCUCUCUCUCACUCUCUCUCUCUCUCUCUCUCUCUCUCUCUCUCUCUCUCUCUCUCUGCAGACUACAGCUGCGACCCUGCACUAGGCACCUGGAGCAGAGGCCAUUUCAUAAACAUUCCCAGGAUCACACAUAUUUCACAUUAUAUUUACUUAUUCAUGACGUGUUUAACGUGGCUUUGUCACCAAAUGACUUUGACAAGUCAAUCCUGGAUAUGAUUCUCCAGAGACGUUCAAUCACUGCCGUCGGGCUAUCUCUAUCAGUAUUUACAAUGGUAGCCUGUGCGUAA